CCCUUAGACGUUCUGGGCCGCACGCGCGCUACACUGACGAAGGCAACGAGCUUUCCUUUACCGAAAGGUACGGGUAAUCUUUUGAAACUUCGUCGUGCUGGGGAUAGAUCCUUGCAAUUUUUGAUCUUAAACGAGGAAUGCCUAGUAAGCGCAAGUCAUCAACUUGCGUUGAUUACGUCCCUGCCCUUUGUACACACCGCCCGUCGCUACUACCGAUUGAAUGGUUUAGUGAGGCCUUCGGAUCCGCGACUCGUUUUGUGGAGAAGUUGGACAAACUCAAUCAUUUAGAGGAAGUAAAAGUCGUAACA
rnacentral:rRNA from 1 species